rnacentral:tRNA from 1 species
AAAGGGAGACCUAAUUCAGGUAAGAGACGAAAAAAAAGUAGUCGCUACCAAGAAUCAAUCCCAAAAGGUCGGAGCGAGGCGAAAUUGGCUUUCAAACUAGGUUCUGGGUUCAAACAAGACCUGAAUCAGGAACAAGGGCUAUUAGCUCAGGUGGUUAGAGCGCACCCCUGAUAAGGGUGAGGUCCCUGGUUCGAGUCCAGGAUGGCCCACCUGCACAGGUGGCAAAAACAAAAAAGCUCCGAAUCAGCACCUUAUCUUACUUAUAUAGUAAGAGAGAAUGCUGGCUCUGAGUUCAGAGUCCAGAGGAACCUUGAAAACUGCAUAGAGCUAGGUGAAAAAGCCAAAAAAGAAGACCGUCAG